UACGUAGGGUGCGAGCGUUAAUCGGAAUUACUGGGCGUAAAGCGUGCGCAGGCGGUUUUGUAAGCCAGAUGUGAAAUCCCCGGGCUCAACCUGGGAAUGGCAUUUGGGACUGCAAGGCUGGAGUGCGGCAGAGGAGACUGGAAUUCCUGGUGUAGCGGUGAAAUGCGUAGAUAUCAGGAGGAAUACCGAUGGCGAAGGCAGGUCUCUGGGCUGACACUGACGCUCAUGCACGAAAGCGUGGGGAGCAAACAGG
rnacentral:rRNA from 1 species